rnacentral:rRNA from 1 species
UUGAACGCUGGCGGCAUGCUUUACACAUGCAAGUCACACGGCAGCGCGGGCUUCGGCCUGGCGGCGAGUGGCGAACGGGUGAGUAAUGCAUCGGAACGUGCCCAGUAGUGGGGGAUAGCCCGGCGAAAGCCGGAUUAAUACCGCAUACGACCUGAGGGUGAAAGCGGGGGACCGAAAGGCCUCGCGCUAUUGGAGCGGCCGAUGUCGGAUUAGCUAGUUGGUGGGGUAAAGGCUUACCAAGGCGACGAUCCGUAGCUGGUCUGAGAGGACGACCAGCCACACUGGGACUGAGACACGGCCCAGACUCCUACGGGAGGCAGCAGUGGGGAAUUUUGGACAAUGGGGGCAACCCUGAUCCAGCCAUGCCGCGUGCGGGAAGAAGGCCUUCGGGUUGUAAACCGCUUUUGUUCGGGAAGAAAUCCUCUGGGCUAAUACCCCGGGGGGAUGACGGUACCGGAAGAAUAAGCACCGGCUAACUACGUG